rnacentral:rRNA from 1 species
CGCAUCUGUGCAUGCAGCAUAUCAAUAAGCGGAGGAAAAGAAACUAACAAGGAUUCCCCUAGUAACGGCGAGUGAAGCGGGAAGAGCUCAAAUUUGAAAUCUUAAAGGGUUUCCCUUUACGAAUUGUAGUUUAAAGAAGUGUUUUCUGUUGAGGUUUUGGUAAAAGUUCUUUGGAAUAGGACAUCAUAGAGGGUGAGAAUCCCGUAUUUGACCUUUACUUUCAACUUUGUGAUACACUUUCAAAGAGUCGGAUUGUUUGAGAAUGCAGUCCAAAAUGGGUGGUAAAUUUCAUCUAAAGCUAAAUAUUGGCGAGAGACCGAUAGCGAACAAGUACCGUGAGGGAAAGAUGAAAAGAACUUUGAAAAGAGAGUUAAACAGUACGUGAAAUUGUCAAAAGGGAAGCGUUUGACACCAGUGUUGUUUUUCUGAAAAUCAAUUAAAGAACUGUUUAUGCUAAGUUGUUUAGACUUUAUCAGCUAUCUGUUUAGUUUUGAGCUUUUCUUUAAUGCACUUUUCAGUUAACAAGUCAACAUCAAUUUCUUUUGCUGUAAAAAAGCUUGAGGAAGGUGGCUUGAGAUUCGUCUUAAGUGUUUAUAGCCUCUUGCCUAUGCAGUCGGAGAGAUUGAGGUCUGCAGCGUAGAUCCUUCGGGGCUAAAUGCAUAUGUGCUAAGUUAUAGCAUUUUAUAGACAACUUGUUGACUAUGAUUUGUCUUGUAGCUUACUCGCUUAUGUUAUUUUACCUACGCUUAGGAUGUUGACAGCAGUAUAGACUGU